AGGAGAGCGGCCCGGUGCGCGCGCGCAGAGAGAGAACCCGAGACAGAGAGAGGGAGAGGGUGAGAGAGCGAGAGCCAACCACCGCCGAGUCAAGAUUCAGCGAUUCCACAGCAAUCGCCCUAAUGACAACAGCCUCAUAAUAUCUCCCCUAAAUCCACAAUAUCAGCUGCCUCUCUUGGAGCUAUAGAGGAGGUUGGGUUGAGAAGCCUGGAAGCCCUCCCCCUCCUCACCCCCAUGCCAGCUCUCCCCAAACUUUCCAAGGAGCCCUGGGUCUACCUACCAGCCCCAGAAGCUCGUGACCCCGAAACUGCAUCCCCUGGAGCCGAGGACCCAAGGCGCCGAGCGGGCGGGUGAACCCAGCCAGUCCCCUCCCAGUCCCCGCAACCCCCGCCUUUGGGUUGGGGCGACCCGGCCUCUCCCUGCCGCCGCCGGGCCAGCGGCGGCAGGAGGCUGGGCAGGUGCCGCGGGCUCUGCCGAAAGCGCUGAAAUCGAAAACCGUCGCCGCUCUAGGAGAACUGAGGCAAGUGAGGCUGAGGCUCAGCUCGUCGACAUCGCCGCCCCCAGCCUCGGCCCAGGAGCCUGCCGACCUGCCUGCACCCCUCCAGCUCCCGGGGUGGCCCCGGCUUGGGGGUGCAAAGCUGGGCGGAGGGCGGAGGCCAGGCGCGCAGCUUUGUGCGCCCGGCCAGGGCCGGGCGAGGCGGGGCGGGCGCGCAGCCCGGGGCUGUCAGAGCCUCCCCGCAGAGCCGAGCUCCGCGCCGCCCACCGAGCCCACCUCGCGGGCCGGCAGCUGCCAGAGCCUCUCCGCUCCGGCCCGAAGCACCAAGCCCGCCGCCCAGAGCCCCCGCCCGACCCUAACGCAGAGCUGUGAGCCUGAAGGGCCGCGCUGGACAUGGCCAGAGAAAGACUUUUCUUUUUCCAACUUCGGCGUUUGGUUUUGUGUGUCCACCACGCGCAGCUCCGGAGCUGGCAGACCCCAAAUGGAUUCUCAACAGGUGGCCAAGAUUCCAGGAACGCAGUGGUCCCCGCAGGAUCCCUGCGAGAGCAGCUUCGAGUCGCAGGGGUGCUACCCGCAUCCCCAUCCCCGCACGCCGGAAGCCAGCGCUCCCCCGGGCUUCAGAGACUGGAAGACGCGCGGGCCCGCAAGGAGGCUCCGGGCGGAGGGAAAAGUCUCAAGGCUUUCGCAGCACGACCCCGAGCCACCCUCCGUGGUACCCUUCUUUCUGCUCCAGGCCCCUAGGCCUCUCCAAGGGCUCUAAGGGAUGGCGUGGCCCCAGGGUGCCUGGGCUUGGCCGGGGAGCACCCUCCUGAGGCCGCAGAACCCAGCACGCCGGCGGGGAAGGGAGGAGGGGCCGAGGGGGCGGGCCCAGGCCAGUUCCCAGUUACAAAUACAGCCGCUCCCGGGAGGCCGAGGAGGAGAGUUUCGCCCCCAAACACGUACAUCACUCACCCGAGGCGCCUUGUUUUCCACUCUUGGGUCCUGCAGUUUCCCCAGGAUCCCGUGACGCACUGGGCCAGUUGGCCAGCGUGGUGGCGGGGUGUGCCCGAGAGUCUUGAGGAGAGCCCCCCUCCUCCCAUGUGGCUUAGCCUGGCCUGGCCAAAAUCCACCAGAAGAGAGAGCCCAGAGGCUGUCUCAACCCUUCCAAGGGGAGCAAGGUGCAGGAUCGUUGGAGGAUCGCCCUCCUCCUGGAAAGUUAAGAAGAUGGGGAGAUGAAGGUGUAAGAGAGGCCUAGAAGGCCCCGGGGCAGAAGGCCUUAUUAACCUGGCACCCCACCUAAAGCCCCGGGUUUACACUUGCACACUUCCUUCUCCCCAUGCAGACUCAGGAGGUCGCACAUAUCCGAUAUCAGGCUUGAGCUGAGUCACCUGACUCUACACAGAACAUAUAUGCAGCUGUACCCGAAUACGUACCCGAGAAUUAGAGGAACACUAACAGCAGAAUCGGAAGAAAAAAAGAAGUGUUCGCAGACAGAAUUAUUCCAACGCACGGGUGCACAUCGAGUUGUCCAGAUGCAGACAAAAGCUGUGGUGCCCACAAGGAAUGACCCCAGCCACAGGCAGAUGUGCAGGAAGCCACACACAGGGAGAGCCUGAAGGAGGAUGCAGGACUCGGGGCCAAGGGCUUCCUGCUAGAGGGACGUUGGCUUCCAAGGGUGAAACUGUUAAGCCAACCAGUUAAAGGUUUCAGGUCAAGUCCUGGAGACUAGAAAGAGCACGACGUCCAUCCAACGCUGAUCCUUUUGCCUUCCACUAAGCUGGGCUUUAGACACUCAGAAGAGGGCAACCCAGGAAAGAAUCAUUUUGAUUCGGGUUAUUUAUUUGUUACUAUUGUUGGUUAAGGAGAUUGUGUUCUGAAGAAGGAUGGGUGGGGAGCAUAGAUGGAUGCCCUAACUCAAUGCUGGGAGAUUCCUAAUUCUUAAUGGGAACAUUCGGCUCCAACGAGGGUUCAAGAAGCCAGGGGCCCUUAUUUUGCCUCUUUCUUGCCUUUCAUUGCUAAAUGCAGUCCUUAGAAACAACCUUCACCUAGCUCCACGCCCUCCUGUCCUCACUUCCAUCCCAAUCCCCUUUAUAUCAAAUAUGUCCACAAAAGAACACUCCCAAGCAAACUGAACUAUUUUAUUACACUAAUUUUCUUUGUGGGAUAUUGGGGUAUUCUCACCCCCUCCUACCCAUUUCCAAACAGAAGCCACCAUCCUGAGAGUUUCAAAGAGGGAUUCCUCGAGUGGCUGUUCCAAAAGGCCUUAGCAAGUGCACAGGCUUGAUGCUGCCUUCAGCUCCUUUUGCCUUCCAGACAGUAGCCACCACGGGUUUCCCCGCAGAAGAGGCAGGCACCCUGGAUGCAAAGUCGCCCUUCUUUCCACUUCACCUCCCCCACCCCACCUCUCUCUCUGAAAGUCGAGGGUGCAUUUGGGAAGAUUCUUUUAGAGAAAAAGAGGGGGAGGGAAGAGGACUCUCUGGGCUAGCAAGUGGAUGACUCCCCUCCAAGGGGCUGAGGAAGAUUUCUCUUGUGAAGAGGAGAUGAACCACUCCCUAAACAGGACAGGGGGACACUUUGAAGCAGAUCCAGUUGCCCAAGAAAUGUAGGAUGAGGAGUGGGAAGUAUGAGGAAUUUCUUCCCUUUUGGAGGCUAACAUGUGUGUCUCCCCCACCCCCAAUCCUGGAAAUUUUAGCAAGAGAUGUUCUGGUAGAUGUUUCGAACAAUAAAGACUGAAAAUCA